ACAGGUAUAGCUCAGUGGUAGAGCGCAUGCUUAGCAUGCAUGAGGUCCUGGGUUCAAUCCCCAGUACCUACA
rnacentral:tRNA from 1 species